CCAGAUGAAGCAUCUCUUGAAUCGCCGUCUCCUCCCAAAAUUCCAUCAAAAGCUACAGAAGCCGGAUCCAAAGCAGGGCUAUUCCAAUCGCACCCUCCUCCAAAAGGAAUCCCGAUCACCAUGUCUCCAUAGCUAACACCUGUUCGGCAACCACACACAGUUGUUGGAGUAUCAGGUCCCUCUUUCCGACCUCCUUGAAUCGAAAGAGAAGAAAGCCCUUCUCCAGCCCGUACACCGCCACCUCUCCCUUCAAUCCUGUCCGAAGCUGGAAUUCCUUAACCACCAGAUCCAGCACCACCCACUAGCCCAAGCUCCUCGCAACCACCGUUGUGGUCGCUC
rnacentral:lncRNA from 1 species